CACAAGUUGUGAAAUCUCCAGAAGUAGACGUUCUCAUCGAUUGGGUUUCUUAUUUAUCCGUUGCAUUCCAUCUAUUGUCACUGAGACUAUAUUAAGUGGAACUAAAUUACAAAUGCAGCAUGAGACCACCGGGACACAACUUUCUCUCUCAAACUUUCCAAUCACGAUCAUUGAACAGAAUAAGCACAUGAAAUUUCCAUUUGAUAAUGCUACUUCUCAUACCAUAUUGAUAUUGGCCUUAUGCAAGUUUCUCUUACGACUAACACGGAUUAACCAUAUCGAUUUCAUAAAAAAUGUACUUCGAAAUUUUCAAAAGGAAAUUGUGUUCGAAAGUUACCCAAGAAGAAAUAUUCACUUAUUGUGAAAGCUUACCAUAACGUUGAAUCUAAAUACACUGAAAUUUUAAGUCACUAUGUCUUCUCACAAAUUCAAGCUGAUGUCCUACCAGCAUCUGGUUGAUGAUCGCUUCCUUAAGUACUUGAUCCGUCUUCAAUAACUGAAGAAAACGCCAGAUAUUUAGAUGACUUGGCAUUAUAUUCGCCUGUAAAUGGUUAUGCCGUACCUCCAAGGAAUUAAUGUUUCGUGAUACGUAUUUUAUACACCACAGAAUGAUGAAGGGUAAAACCAGUAUGGAAGAAUUUGAACUUAAGACUUAAAGAAAGCCAGAUAAAUAUCACAAGAUAUCUGGUCCGACGCACGAGCGCUGCCAACAGUGUGUAUCGUUUUCAUUCAGGAUUUUUCUCGUAAUUUACCCUUAAUAGUUUCAUUUAUGCUUCUACACUGAUAGGCUAAGACCUGCAGCAAUCUUUA
rnacentral:lncRNA from 1 species